GACGAACGCUGGCGGCGUGCUUAACACAUGCAAGUCGAACGGGAGUAUCGAAGAAGCUUGCUUUUAAGAUACUUUAGUGGCGGACGGGUGAGUAACGCGUGAGGAGCUGUCCUAUGCAGGGGGACAACAGUUGGAAACGACUGCUAAUACCCCAUAAGCCGAGAGGUAAAAGGAUUUAUCCGGCAAAGGAGGUACUCGCGUCCUAUCAGCUAGUAGGUUGGGUAACGGCCGACCUAGGCGAAGACGGGUAGCCGGCCUGAGAGGGCGAACGGCCACACUGGAACUGAGAUACGGUCCAGACUCCUACGGGAGGCAGCAGUGGGGAAUAUUGGGCAAUGGGGGAAACCCUGACCCAGCAACGCCGCGUGAAGGAAGAAGGUUUUCGGAUUGUAAACUUCUGUCCUUGGUGAAGAGAAGAAGACGGUAGCCAAGGAGGAAGCCCCGGCUAACUACGUGCCAGCCGCCGCUGUAA
rnacentral:rRNA from 1 species